rnacentral:rRNA from 1 species
UACGUAGGGGGCUAGCGUUGUCCGGAUUUAUUGGGCGUAAAGAGCGUGUAGGCGGCCGAGUAAGUCCGGUGUGAAAACUCGAGGCUCAACCUCGAGAUGUCGAUGGAAACCGUCUGGCUAGAGUCCGGAAGAGGAGUGUGGAAUUCCUGGUGUAGCGGUGAAAUGCGCAGAUAUCAGGAAGAACACCUAUGGCGAAGGCAGCACUCUGGGACGGUACUGACGCUGAGACGCGAAAGCGUGGGGAGCGAACAGG